rnacentral:rRNA from 1 species
AACGAACGCUGGCGGCAUGCCUAACACAUGCAAGUCGAACGCGACCUGCUGGUCUUGUUACCCACGGGUUCGUAACGCGUCGGAACCGUCCCUUAUGGUCGGAAUAACUUCCCGCAGGGGGUGCUAUUACCGGAUGAUUGCUACUAACCAAUGAUUUAUUGCCUCUGGAUGGGCCCGCGUUGGAUUAGCUAUUUGGUAGCUUAAAAGCCUACCAAGGCUAAGAUCCAUAGCUGGUCUGAGAGGAUGAUCAGACACACUGGGACUGUGACACGGCCCAGACUCCUACGGGAAGAAGCAGUGGGGAAUAUUGGACGAUGGGCGAGAGCAUGAUGCAGCCAGGCCGCGUGAGUGAUGAAGGACUGAGGGUUGUAAAGCUCUUUUAACCGGGAUGAUAAUGACAGUACCGGGAGAAUAAGCUCCGGCUAACUCCGUG